AUCACAGGUCCUUCAGCUCCUCUGCUACUAGACGCCAUAAUGGAGGAGGAGGAGGAACAGCAGCGCGAUGCAGGAGCAGAUGGAUUCAGGAGGAGAAAUCACCAAGAGAGAUGUCCCUGUCCUCUGUAUUCCCAGGACUGUCCAGAGGAGAAGCUCCCAGAGAACCAUCAGGCUGAAAAUCUGAUGGAUAUUAAGGUUGUGGUUUUUGAUGAAUCGGAAGAGGAGACAAAUGUAUGGGGCGAUCAA